AACGAACGCUGGCGGCAGGCUUAACACAUGCAAGUCGAACGCAUCCUUCGGGGUGAGUGGCAGGCGGGUGAGUAACGCGUGGGAACGUGCCCUUCAGUUCGGGAUAACCCAGGGAAACUCGGGCUAAUACCGGAUACGUGCGAGAGCAGAAAGAUUUAUCGCUGAAGGAUCGGCCCGCGUCUGAUUAGCUAGUUGGUGGGGUAAUGGCCCACCAAGGCGACGAUCAGUAGCUGGUCUGAGAGGAUGAUCAGCCACAUUGGGACUGAGACACGGCCCAAACUCCUACGGGAGGCAGCAGUGGGGAAUAUUGGACAAUGGGCGCAAGCCUGAUCCAGCCAUGCCGCGUGAGUGAUGAAGGCCUUAGGGUUGUAAAGCUCUUUCGUCCGGGACGAUAAUGACGGUACCGGAAGAAGAAGCCCCGGCUAACUUCGUGCCAGCCGCCGCGGUAAUAC
rnacentral:rRNA from 1 species